GUCUACAGCCAUAUCACCCUGAACACACCCCAUCUCGUCUGAUCUCAGAAGCUAAGCAGGGUCGGGCCUGGUUAGUACUUGGAUAGGAGAAUAUUAUUCAGCCAAGAAAAAGAAGAAU
ensembl:rRNA 5S_rRNA 5S ribosomal RNA